UUUUUUUGCUCGUCCCCCUGGUGCCAAACAUAUAGUGGCAGACAGACAGAGAGAGAGGCUAUGGAGAAUAAUCACAACAAGGAAGGAGUAGGAGAAACACGAGGACGACGAGGAGGUGAAGCCAUGGACAGAGAGGAGGAUGAGGGGGAGUUAGUUCCAGACUGACCUCGGAGAGGAUGGCUUUCAAUUGAGAACCUCUACAAGGCUCAGAUGAAGCACAUUCAACAGCGGAAACAAAGGUGAUCGCAGUGUGAUUAUUCUGAAGACUUGCCUGAUGACUCGGAAAUCCAGAAGCUUUCUCUCUGUCACCACGAAGAAUCACUGAUUGCUCAGCGUGUAAACUGUACGGCAUCAGCAUAACAGAUAGAGCACUCAUCUUGCGAAGUUGGAGGAUUGAGAGAGAGGAUGCUUAACCUUGGGUGAUCCUAUUAUCUUGGCCGCCACAGGCGCAGCCCAGCAACUGCAAAUUAGGUCAGAUUUUGGAAUCUUUAGUAAAAUUAUCCACACGUAGACUUGAUUCAUUGUCUUGGGCAACGCUCUAUCCUUGCUCUUGGCGAGUCAAAUUCAAGGUUAUCACAUGGUAAUUGGGCCUACUUGUUGGUCUCCUGUUGUCAAGUGGGCUGCUUAACUCUGACUUCUACUUUUCUUUAUUAUUUUUCUUUUCCUGAUAGUUUUUACAUAAGCUUGGCUUGGUAGCUCAGCUGAGUCAUUUUGACUGAUCCAUAAAUGAUUAAGGAUGCUGAAAAAUAAAUGGAAAGAAAGACAGGCUUCAAUCUUC